GAGACAACGUGUCUGCAGUCAAUUAUACCCAAAUGUUGAUAACAAUGGUAUGGAGCUGUCACGUUUUGACAUUUCCAAAACAUCUGGCCAUGUAAUUAACAAAUGCCACAUGAGGAAGCUCUCCAGCCUCAGAGGGACUACAGAACACACUUAGAUUGAGCAGAAGGUUAUGCUUCACAGAGAACAAGAUCCACCCGACUAAACACCCGAGCAAAGAAGACAUGUGAAAAACAUGCAGAGGCAGCAGUUUCACAAGCAAUCUAUGUGGUUUUGUGGUGAUGCAUCAACAGUAAUUCUCAACACAAGAAUGUACGUUAGGGACUCAAGAAUAGGAAAUGGAAAGAACCCUGUGAGUAACCAUCUCAUACCCAUUGUGUUGUUUUUUUACUACUUAUUCCCAUUAGAGGAACGUUCAGAUGAAUGGGAACAGCCAUCUCGCUCCUACCUCUGUGGGGAACCCUGGGCCAAGCAGGGAGCAGGUUUGGGAGCCAGACCCAAUAUCAGCAAGGGGACCUGAGGCAGGAGUCCUUGGGCUGGUGGCAGUUUUGAGAGCUAAGCAGUGCUGGCCAUGGUCAGACAUCCAGUUACUAACCAUGGGAAAACCAUGAGCAGAAAUAGGGACAACUUUGGACUUAAAUGACAAAGGAGAUUUACAAAAAUCUGAUGUUGAAACAAAGGCACCAAUCAAAAGUUUAUAUCUUUUUCUCAAGCACUCUCUUCAUGACAUGUUUAAAGCAGUCCCCGUGAAAACUGAAGAUUAUAACCAGAUUGCUUCAAUCAACCUUAGAAGUAUUAUUCUCUGAGAACGGUGGCUAAGACAUUCAGAAGCUCAUAAAUGAAUUUGGGUUGUAGGCCACCUUUUCAAAGGAUAUUGACAUAACAUCGCGUUAAAACAAUGGAAUGUAGGUGCUCAGCUCACCUAACAACUUUUGAAAAUGACCAGAGUAUUAACAAGGAUCAAGCUACAAAUACACUUACGCUCUUGGCAUUUUAGGCUUGCUCUCUGCAUGUGCUGUGUCAGCCUCUGCAUGCAUCAAGACACUCAGAACUGCACACUCUGCUGGCGUUUCUGUCCUGCCAUGAUAGCUAGCCCUUUUAGCAGAGUUUUCUAAAAGCCUGUGGAAAACAGCAGACAUUGAGAUUGGAUUUUGGAUUCAUCAGAUGGCACUGUAUGAAAACAGGACUCUCAACAAAGAUGUCAGUGACUCAACAGCUCUCAGUAACCACUGCAAAAUAAACAGUAGACAGGAAUUACUAUGCAGGGGUUAAGCAUCUGCUAAGAGGAACCAUAUUUUUCAUUGAACUUUGAUUGCAACAGAGUGCUCACUCCCCAGCAGAAACAUGGCUGAAGGGCAAUGCUUCAAAUGCAGAACGCGCUGAUAUACAGCAGUCUCCCCCAGCACAGCAAACUGCUCCACUAUAUAAAUAACAGAAGUCUUUUGUUUUGAAAGAGGAUUCUUUACAACAAAAGAUAUUUUUAAGAGUCAGCAGUUUUCCAGUGACUUGUGUGGUAUCACAGCCCCUAUAGCACUGUGCUAGCAGAUGGCGUGGAGGGUGCAUCCACAUGUGGGUUUGGCCCACAGCUGACAGUGGAGGUACAGCCCAGCACCGAAGCAAUAGUGUAAGCGCUUCUGUAAGGCAGAAGGCUCCCCUCAGCAGAAAUUGUUAACCUGGAUGGAGUUGUAAAUGCACGCAGCCAGCCUGCUUCCCUAUGCAAGAAGGCUCAUGUGGUUGGGGGAGAUGUCCCCAUGCCACAUGUGGCACUGCUUACUGCUCCGUGGUUGUCUCAAGCAAAACCAACGCACACAUUGGACUGUUGCGCUGUUAACUAUCCAGCAAACACCCAUUCCCAGGAAAACGUGCUGUUUGGUAAUUCAGACCCCUGAAAAGAAGCUUCUUUUGAUGGUAAUGUUAUGGUAAACUCAAGGAGUGUUUGCUCUCUGCCAUAAUCUCUGAUAAUAGAGCCAGUUUUCCAAACAGAGCUGAGCUUUGGGAAUCGGCCUUUCCUGGCAGACCCGGAUUCCUCGUAGCAAGAAUGCUUGCAGUCCGUGCGACUGUCCCUGGACACUAUGGCUGUGUAAACAGGAGACUUUACAGUGAGAUUAGACUGAAAUUUCACAUCAUCCUCACACAAAGAGAGCUGCCUCCACAGCUCUGGUGCUCUGCUUUUACCUGGUGUGGGACAGCGCUGACCUGGAAACACAGACAGGAUGCAUCCCAUACUUCUGCUUCUCUCCACGAUAUGAGAAAGAACGUAAAUCUAAACCAGAUUUUUAUUAAAUGGUGCAUUUUCUUACUCUUCUAAUAUUCUGUGUACAAGUAUGUAGCACACUGGAUACAUCUGCUUGCUAAGCCAAGUCUGGAAAGCCACCCAAGUUUCUACAUGUCUAUUUGAGGAUCCAGAGCAGUCCAGAUUGUCUUUCAGAAACGCUGGGAACUCUCAGCUCCCAGUGGAGCAAAAAUGCAGUGUCAAUAAUAGCCCGGCUGUGUAAGUAACUACUGAAAGCCACGUAUCUGCACAGUUUGACAUUUAAAUAUCUUAGGGGAAUCUUCUGUGCAGUGCCAAAAUGUAAGCACUUGUCUUUACAAACUUAAUGACAGGAUUGCAGCUUUUACACAACUGGAUAAAUCUCUGCAUAAAUAAUUUCAGCACUAAAAUUUAAAAUCAUUUGCUUACAGUUUCCUUUAGACUUAUUUGACCUAUAUGCAAUUUAAAUGAUUACACUGUGCUUUCUUGCAUAAACAGCAAUAUUAUUGCAUUGAAGUUCUUCUCUUCUAAUAACUGAAUAAUGGUUUAAUACCCCACUUCUAAGGACCACCAAAUUCUUCUCUGGAAUUUCAGCGUAGAGCCAAAAACAGUAUUUAGUGAAACAUGUUUUUUCAGACAUGCUACAAAAUAUAAUUUGCAGACUAUUUUAGAGAGAAGAACAUGAACUGAUUGGAAGGGGAACCACUGCAACUUUUGAUGAUGCUCUAUCUGUAGUGAAGCGAUUUCUGUUGUGGAGGAAUCCUCAGUUUAUCUCAGAUGCUGAUAAAUCAAGAGUGGAUGGAGAAAUUAAUUCCUGAUCCAAAGUCCUUUAAAGAAACCAUCUUUAGAGGGUGACUUAAUAAAAACUUCCACUGUAAGCUGCCUGGCAGCUGAAAGAGCAGGGAAGAGAGACUCUGGAGGGCAGUUAAGCAGUCAGUCCCACUGAAGUUGCAAAGAUUUUGAUCCUUGCAUCCUCUCUAAUACACUGGGAAAAAGAAAAGUAAACUUUGUCGCUAUUAAAAAGUUAUGAAGGAAAACUGGGCCUUUGGAUGCUACGUGGCUUGCAUGGAAUAAGAAACAUACAAGAAGGAGGCAGUUCCUCCCCUACAAAGUUUACAACCUAAAUGAAAAUAGCAGAGCUUGAUAUAUCACAAGGAAACAGUAAGGCGAGAUCGGCCAUCGUGAAGAACAGAGCCACAGUAAAUCAGCUGCCUCUCGUCUCUUCUGUAGGCAUUCCAGCAAAGAACUCAGCAAAUUGCCAGACCAUGAAACCUCCACAUUUCACCUGAGAGAAGCAAAUCACAGCUUGCCAGAAACAAGCCAGCCCUUAACCUUUUCAAUCUUUUAACCUUUACAUAAACUGUGCUUGUUUUCCCGUACAAACAAUGGCCUUAUUGUUUAAGUUAAAAUACAGUAUAUGACCUCUGAUGCUAGGAAAUGAAUGAAUUGUUGUGUUGUCAACAGCUACUUUUUUCCACACCCCCUUAUAUCUAGGAAUUUCUUUCCAUGUCUCUAGUUUUAAGAAGAACAUAACACUUUGGAAAAUGCUACAGAUAUACUGCAAAAUUACACAACUGAAACAUGAUGACUUGUAUUUUCAGUAACUUAGAAAAUCCUAAUAUAGACCAGCUUUUCAAAAGAAUUCACCUUCAUCUUAGGCAUGUAACUGACCGUAAUUUUCAAUCAUUUAUACUGCAUAGAAACUCUCAUUUCAGAUACACAGUGAGAACUUAAAAACUGACUAUUUAUUAAAAUGUCAAAAUGGAACCAGAGCUCUUCUGAACAUCUGGCCAGACUGUGGCUAUGUGACUCAAGAUGACUACAUGAGAACAUGUAAUGUAAGUAAGCGAGUAACAAAAGAUUAUGCACAAAAAUUCAGACACUCAUUUAACAUUAGACAUAAAGUUCAUCUUCAAACACCCUUUGCUUGUUACAAGUUCAUUUAAAAUUGGGAAAUGUACAAAAUGAUUAUGGUAAAGAUAAAGAUAAGACAGAAUUUGCACGUGUAGAGGAGAAGGCACCCAAAAUAUCCCUCUUCUGAAGGACAAGAGAAAAUACGAUAACAAUUUAGGAAGCACAUUAGAAGAGUCAUCCUAAGAGGUGAAGGAAAUUAUUAAAUUUAUGAACAAUAUGAACCGACUUCUAAGCACAUCAUUUUUUGUUGUUGUUGUUGUUGUUGUUGCUGGUGAUGUUUUUAAGAUAAGAAUGCUUUCAUCAACAUAGGAAGGAGAAGGUUCACACCUUUGUGAGACCCACUAGAUAUUGAAUGGACCUAUGAACAGAUGUUUACAUAAAGGAAAUAUUUUCCCAGAUUGGAGCAGUUUCUAAAUGGAAGGACAGCUCUACGUGGUAAAUAGAACUGUCUGGGCCAAAGCACUAAUUGUGUGACAAUUGUGUGAUUUCAGACCUCAUUACCUAUUUCAGAUAACAGUAUUGUAGCCUGAGGCAGCCUUUGUUUUAUUAGAUAUAGUCUUGAGAGAACGUAAAUUUAGAAGAAUCUUUUUGACUGAUUUUAAUCAGCAGUCUACCUUCAGCCACUGCUUCCAAAAGCUCCUGGGAAAAGACCAAAAAUACUCAUCUUACAGUUCUGAGAUUUUAACCUACAAAAUCCUAUAUGAGUCCAUCAGGGUUAUGUCAAGAUGCGUAAGGCAUCCCUAACCUUUAGAAAACUAGAGUGAAUAUGUCAUUAGUUAUUAGAAAGAAGAAAGAAAAGGUAGAACUACCAAAUAAGACUCCUUUCUCUGAACUAACAAGAAUGACAUUUCCG
ensembl:lncRNA